GGACAGAUACCCAAGUGGUAAAGGGGCCGGUUUGCUAAACCGGUAGGCCGGGAAACCGGUGCAUGGGUUCAAACCCCAUUCUGUCCGCCA
rnacentral:tRNA from 1 species